GUCUAUGGUCAUACCACCCUGAACGUGCCCAAUCUCAUCUGAUCUCAGAAGCUAAGUAGGGUCAGGCCUGGUUAGUACUUGGGUGGCAGAAAUACGGGGUGUACCAAGAGUCGCCAUACAUG
rnacentral:rRNA from 1 species